AUUGAACGCUGGCGGCAUGCCUUACACAUGCAAGUCGAACGGCAGCACGGGAGCAAUCCUGGUGGCGAGUGGCGAACGGGUGAGUAAUAUAUCGGAACGUGCCCAGUCGUGGGGGAUAACGUAGCGAAAGCUACGCUAAUACCGCAUACGAUCUAUGGAUGAAAGCGGGGGAUCGCAAGACCUCGCGCGAUUGGAGCGGCCGAUAUCAGAUUAGGUAGUUGGUGAGGUAAAGGCUCACCAAGCCGACGAUCUGUAGCUGGUCUGAGAGGACGACCAGCCACACUGGGACUGAGACACGGCCCAGACUCCUACGGGAGGCAGCAGUGGGGAAUUUUGGACAAUGGGCGCAAGCCUGAUCCAGCCAAUGCCGCGUGCAGGAUGAAGGCCUUCGGGUU
rnacentral:rRNA from 1 species